AGAGUUUGAUCAUGGCUCAGGAUCAACGCUGGCGGCGUGCCUAAUGCAUGCAAGUCGUGCGGGAUGCCUUCGGGCAAACCCGCGGCGGACGGGUGCGGAACACGUGGGCAACCUGCCCUGGGGCGGGGGAUAUCCCUUGGAAACAGGGGGUAAUUCCGCAUACGCUCGGUCCCCGAGUCGGGGGAUCGAGGAAAGGCGCAAGCCACCCCUGGAGGGGCCUGCGGCCGAUUAGCUAGACGGCGGGGUAACGGCCCACCGUGGCUGUGAUCGGUAGCUGGUCUGAGAGGACGGCCAGCCACACGGGGACUGAGACACGGCCCCGACUCCUACGGGAGGCAGCAGCAAGGAAUCUUCCGCAAUGGGCGAAAGCCUGACGGAGCAACGCCGCGUGGGGGAGGACACCCUUCGGGGCGUAAACCCCUUUUCUCGGGGACGAACACAAUGACGGUACCCGAGGAAUAAGGACCGGCUAACUACGUGCCAGCAGCCGCGGUAAUAC
rnacentral:rRNA from 1 species